GACCCUAUAGAGUUUAAUAUUUGAUUAAUAAAUUAUUUUUUAGAAUUUAAUAUUAAUUUAUUGAUUAAUUAUUUGAUUGGGGUGAUUGAAAAAUUUAAGCAACUUUUUUUAUAUAAAAACAUUAAUUUAUGAUUGUUUGAUCCAUUUUUUAUGAUUAUAAGAUUAAAUUACCUUAGGGAUAACAGCGUAAUUUUUUUUAAGAGUUCAAAUCGAAAAAAAAGAUUGCGACCUCGAUGUUGGAUUAAAAUUUAUUUUUGGUGUAGAAGCUAAAUUUAUUGGGUCUGUUCGACCUUUAAAAUUUUACAUGAUCUGA
rnacentral:rRNA from 1 species